AUUGAACGCUGGCGGCAGGCCUAACACAUGCAAGUCGAGCGAGCGGCGGACGGGAGAGUAAUGGAUGGGGACUGCACGAUAGAGGGGGAUAACUAAUGGAAACGGUGGCUAGUAACGCAGACUGUCGGUGAACCAAUAUGGGAUGAGCUAGUAUGUAAGGUAAUGGCUUACCUAGGCGACGAUCCCUCGGUGUUCUGAGAGGAUGAUCAGCCACACUGGGACUUAGCCCCGGCCCAGACUCCUACGGAGGCAGCAGUGGGGAAUAUGGCACAAUGGGCGCAAGCCUGAUGCAGCCAUGCCGCGUGUAUGAAGAAGGCCCUAGGGUUGUAAAGUACUUUCAGUCGGAAGGCGUUACCGACAGAAGAAGCACCGGCUAACUCCGUGCCAGCAGCCGCGGUAAUUC
rnacentral:rRNA from 1 species